CACGCUUCCCAAUCGUUCCCAAUCCAGGCAAGUGUAGCGCGAGUACCUAGAAGCAGAUUCAGCUUCCAAAUUUGUUAUUGUGGAAUAGUUUUGGACUGUUUCAAUUAGACAAACAGUUCUUUCUGCGUUCUUCAUGUUCUAGUAUAGCAAUUUUCAACCGAUCAAUUUAACCAGAACAUUCUACCACAUGUUUCAGAACAAUCUACAAUUUGUCAUUUUUGUUCAUACCUACAAAGUUCCACCGUUUCUGGUAAUGUGGUCUGGAAUGAAGCAGUGCUGCUCUCUAGCACCCCCUCUCUACUUGUGGAAGCGUGACUGCAGCAACGAAGAGCGGGAUGAAGGUGAAGUUUGGUUGAGGCUGCAAUGCAGAGAUUCAGACAACCAGAUGGUAACCUGUGGAUUAAUCCCUCAUAUCAGUCUAUUCGUAUCCUGACUUUCUAUGAUGUGAGAGCAUCAUGAUUGUUAAAUGUAUAGUUUCUGAAUAUAUUUAGGUGAAACAUAAUUCUCAGAUAUUUUUGCUUUGUUGAAUGGCAAUGUUACACUCCAAAGAUUGACUUGAACUUUGAACAUCUGCAAUAUAUUUCCAUCUUCACAUCACAUGUAUGAUUGAAUAAAAGAGAAACUGAAAUUAGAUUGAGGAAGUUUUAUUCGGAAACUGGACAAGCUGCGCUGGUGUUCACCCAUUAAUGGAACCAGAAACAGUAUCAACUACAGGUAAAACGCUACACGUCUGAAGGAUGUCAUGUUAAGAGUUAAAACACACUCUCGCUCACAAACACACGUGCAUACAUUCGUUUCACACGCACUUAGUAAACUUGCACAUCAAUACCUUAAGACAAUGGUCUCCAUGGUAAUCAAUGAUUAACAUACCCAAAGGAACUCAAAUUUCCCACAGAGCAAUUCACCUACCUAUACAGAUAUAUAUAUUUAUAUAUUUCUGAUACACACACACUCACGUAAUUCAUUUAGAUAAUCAGGAUAUCAAUAAAGACUUUGAUCCAUUUAAACUGUUUAAUGAACAUCUCAAUCUUCAUAAAUAAUCAGCAGAAACAAACAAACAAAAAAAACAGUAAUAAUCCAUCUUUUUUUUUUUUUACAUUUAGGUCCUCAACAUCAGUGUCUGAAUUUGAAUGGUCCCAAAAGUGAGAAAACAAAAUGACAUUGAUUUGUUCUUCAAACGAGAAUAAAACUGACAAAAUAAAAGGAUGACAAACAAGUGUAGCAUAGGAAAAAGGGGGCAUCUAUUUAAACAGACACACAGGACGAGAGCAAUAGCUACACAGCGCAUUUACAGGGGAACACACAUCAGGCUACUAUACACAGAGAGGAAGUUCAAUCACACAUUCACUUGCAAACAGCACACUCAC